rnacentral:lncRNA from 1 species
ACUGUGAAUAAUCAUACCCAUGCCUCUGCUGACAUGAAAUGCCAAGCGUUAGUGCUUUGGUUCUCAGACAGCUUUAAGUCUAAGAAUGAAAGUUUUAAUUGAAGAAUGUGCUACAAAAUGCUCUACUUGCUGCGGCGAUGCUAUUAUAAGGUACAGGGUUUUUUUUGUUUGUUUGUUUGUCUCUCUCUAGAACUGGAAGCUACUCCUGUACUUAAGGCCAGGAUUUUAGAAAGGAGCCAUGAGAAGAAUGAUUCAGACUAAAGGUGAGAAGGUAAAGAAAGCAAGAGUUUAUUUAACAGCUCUUCUUUUUUUUUCCUCUUUUUUAUUUCUUCCCUCAAAAAUAUGUUCUCUUGGUGAUAUUUUAGUUUGUGUUAUCCAGAGACCUACAACAAUCUGAUGAAAAUUUGUAGAAACUAGAGAAAAUAAUGACGAAUAGGUCAACACCCACCCUUAAAUUCACAUAGAAAGUAAAUGAUUUAGGAAAAAUAGUUGCAACUGCUAUCAUAUAUAAGGUCUUCAUCACAUGAAUAAACUCUUAGAACUUGAUUUAAAAAAUAUCAACAAUCCAAUAGAAAUAUGGGCAACAAACAUGAACAAACAUUCCUUUAAUACAAAUAAAUAUAAAUGUUAAGAUGUUCAAUCUCAUUCAUAAAAAGAAUAGUGCAAAUUAUAGUUGCACUGAGAUACUCUUUCUCACCAAUCAUCAGAUUGGCAAAAAUCUCAAAGACUAGCAACACAUUCUGUUUGUGAAGAUGUGGGGGAACAAUCUCGUCAAUUGCUGAUGUGAUGACAGUGCAAAAUGGUCCCUAGAAAGGGUGUAUUUGUUUUCUGUUGCCGCUGUAAUAAAUGACCACAACUUCAGAGGCUUGAAACAAGACCAACUUAUAAUCUUGUAGUUCUGUGUAUCAAAAGUCCAACACAGGUCUUGCUGGGCAGGGCUGCUUU